GCCGGGCAAGGUGGCGGGCGCCUGUAGUCCCAGCUACUCGGGAGGCUGAGGCAGGAGAAUGGUGUGAACCCGGGAGGCGGAGCUUGCAGUGAGCUGAGAUCCGGCCACUGCACUCCAGCCUGGGAGACAGAGCAAGACNNNNNNNNNNCGUACCACUUUUGUUUUUUUUUUUUUGUUUUAGUACGGAGUCUUGCUCUGUCUCCCAGGCUGGAGUGCAGUGGCCGGAUCUCAGCUCACUGCAAGCUCCGCCUCCCGGGUUCACACCAUUCUCCUGCCUCAG
rnacentral:SRP_RNA from 1 species